UCUCAAAAUAUUCUGUUAAGUACUAUUUGUCAACGUAUAAACACAUGUUCAGUCCAAACUUACGAUAUCAAAGAUUGAAUUUAACCCGGAUUUUUUAGUGAAACCAUUUGAAAUCAUUGAUUUUAAAGGUGGGUAGUUCUGUUCUGUCAUUCUCUAUUCAUAACUUGUGUUUACACGAAUCUUCAAACUGUGCAUAUUUAUGUGGGUUUCAUUGGUGAACCAGUGGCGCAUGGAAGCUAAAUAUACUAUAAAUGGCAGUUGGUAAGUGGGAAUGGUCAAUUAUUUAUGGUUUGUUUUUGGUUUGCAAAAUAAUCAAAAUGUUAGUUUGACAGACGACAACAACAACAACUCGUUAUAGUUUGUUUCAAGACAUAUAGAAAAUAGAAUAAAAGAAUCAUUUUGAUUUUGUUUGAUGAUACAAACUGGAGCAUAUUAUGAUCUGUUUGUUGGAUGAUUUUAACAUAAUGUUUUAACUGAAAAUUGUUUUAUGGUACUAGAAAAGGGUAUUGCAGUUUUUCCUUGAGUACCUAUACUUUCGGAUAAAAUUUAUUUCGGAUGUAAUAUUUGGCUACUGUAGUAUUAUGUUUUUUCUUAUGUUUAAAAAAAUGAGACAUGCUGGGCAGUUUUCCUGAUUUUAUUUUGUUAUAAGUUAUACAUUAAAAUAAUGUAUGUGUCAUUAGGAUAAAAAUAGAGCUGCAUUUGGCAACAUAGUAAAGAUUGAACGAUUUUUUUUUUGAGAUACCAAGGAGACGCCCCGGUACAUCCCGGAACUAAGGGCUGGAUACACAACCGGUAGGGGGCACAUGAGUCUAACGACUAGAGUCUCCGAAAGGAGGUACAUCAGAUAGAUACACAAUGGAGUGUUUCAUAUGAUAAAUUACGUUUUAAUUUUAUUAAUUACUUUGUAUAUUUCAGAAGCUGUGUGUUCACUGUUGGCACAUUGAAUGAUUGGAUAAAUAAUGCUCUAUUGGAUAAAUACGUAAAGUUCAUUGGACAGCUGUGAUUGUGGUGUGGACAGCUAAGAUUGUGUUUUGGACAGCUGAGAUUGUGACUUGGACAGCUGAGAUUGUGGUGUGGACAGCUGAGAUUGGUGUGGACAGCUGAGAUUGUGGUGUUGACAUCUGAAAUUGUGAUUUGGACAGCUGAGAUUGUGACUUGGACAGCUGAGAUUGUGCUGUGGACAGCUAAAAUUGUGGUGUGGAAUAAUGAUAUUGUGGUGUUGACAACAUAUUGUGGUGUGCACAUGUGAUAUUGUGGUGUGAUGGUUUAAAGUAGCAAAGGUAAAGAACGUUUGACAGCUUAGAUUUUGGUGUGGACAGCUGAUAUUGUGGUGUGGACAGCUGAGAUUGUCAUGUGGACUACUUAUAUUGUGGCUUGCAGAGCUGAUAUUGUGGUGUGAUGGUUUAAAGUACUAAAGAUUUAUUCCUUACUACCUUCCUGUCAACUAUAUCUUCCACAGCAUGAUUUAAUCUAGUCCCAAUCAUUGACUCUGGUUACCUCACCAGACGGUCCGUCCACAGAGUCACAAGCAACAGAUACUAAAA